UCCAAAACCUCUUCUCAGGAUGGGUCAC
rnacentral:piRNA from 1 species